GACGAACGCUGGCGGCGUGCCUAACACAUGCAAGUCGAACGAAGCAUAGCAAUAUGCUUAGUGGCGGACGGGUGAGUAACGCGUGAACAAUCUGCCCUGUACAAAGGAAUAGCCUCGGGAAACCGGGAUUAAAACCGUAUGACACUUUAGUAUCGCAUGAUAAGAAAGUCAAAUCGAAUAGAGGUAUGGGAUGAGUUCGCGUCUGAUUAGCUGGUUGGCGGGGUAACGGCCACCAAGGCGACGAUCAGUAGCCGGCCUGAGAGGGUGAACGGCCACACUGGAACUGAGACACGGUCCAGACUCCUACGGGAGGCAGCAGUGGGGAAUAUUGGGCAAUGGGCGAAGCCUGACCCAGCAACGCCGCGUGAGGGAAGAAGGUUUUCGGAUUGUAAACCUCUGUUCUUGGGGAAGAGGAGGAGACGGUACCCAAGGAGGAAGCCCCGGCGUAACUACGUGCCAGCAGCCGCGGUAAGACGUAGCGUG
rnacentral:rRNA from 1 species